rnacentral:rRNA from 1 species
CCUACGGGAGGCAGCAGUGGGGAAUAUUGCACAAUGGGGGAAACCCUGAAGCAGCGACGCCGCGUGAGUGAAGAAGGAUCUCGGUACGUAAAGCCCUAUCAGUAGGGAAGAAAAUGACGGUACCUGACGAAGAAGCGCCGGCUAACUACGUACCAGCAGCCGCGGUAAUACGGAGGGGGCCAGCGUUAACCGGAAUUACUGGGGUUAAAGGGGGCGUAGCCGGCAGCUCAAGACAGGAGUGAAAUCCGGGGGCUUAACCCUCGAACUGCAUUGGAAACUGUGGGGCUGGAGUGUAGGAGGGGUAGGCGGAAUUCCUGGUGUAGCGGUGAAAUGCGUAGAUAUUAGGAGGAACACCGGUGGCGAAGGCGGCUUACUGGA